AGUUCAAGGCCUAUUAGCAAUGACGAAAUUAGCAUUUAUUUGGGAACAAUCUUCUUGCAAGGAAAGGAGAGGGCUGGAAAUCCUGAGACAUUGAGUCUAAAGCUAGGAAGUGACAUUAUUUUAACUGAAAAGGUUCAACCCUGCGGUGGUAUUUGGAGUGACAACUGCUCUUUGAAAAUGGGAAGAAGACACCCCUUCAUACUUGCAGGAUCUCUCAUUAUCUCUGUUGCCAUAAGUCAAUCAUUGCAAUUCUAGAGCUGCGUGCUAGGUGGGGGAAUAGGAACUCAGCUAGCUUGCAUGAAUUUUGUUUUUUGGGGAAUUGCAGGUUCCAGAUGCAACUAGUGACCAUGAAAUUCGGAGAGAGUCUGUAGGAGAAGAAAGGAAUCCAGAUUCAAGCAGUGAUAGAGCAAUGGGCUGAGUUUCAAUAUGUUAUUGCAUAUUUUUGUUAAGUGUUACUCUUAGUUGUCUUCAUUAGGAACUUGAUUUUGGGCAUAUAUAACUUAAUUUGUACUUCUUCUAAUUACCUAUACUGACACUGCAACAAUUUAAUUACAUUGCAAUGAAAUAGAUG